AACUUCUAUUAAAAAUAAGGAAAUUUUCAUGUUUACAAAAAAAACCAUUGACAAACUAUUCCAUGCAAAACUUCUCUUCCAUAUGAUGAAGAACGCUAAGUUGGCUUCUUCACGUCCAAACUUGAUUCUACAAAAAGCAAUAAUCACUUUUACCUUAUUACCGAUAUAAAGCUCGUUGUGCCUUUUUCUUCGCCCGGUGCAACGCACGGACAUUUGUACUAGUCUUCUAAAAAAUAUCUUUCUCUCGUCUUCUCCUCGAGUGACGGCAAGGGUUCCUCCUCCUUCUCCCAUUCCCUUCUCUCUCUUGUGGCCUCCUCCCACCAGCCGCGGCCUCUUCCGCUUGAACCGGCGAUGGUGGUGCUAGCGCAGUGUCCCGGAACUCGCCUUCCACCGUCGCCAGGUGCGUUGGAAAAAUUGUCGUUGUCAACCCGUCCCCUAUGCGUUUCCUCCUGCCCAGACGUGUUCUCAUCCCCGCCCUCCUCCAAGUUCACCGGCCGGGAGGCAAGGAUCUGUCGGUCAUGAGCGGUGGGAGGCGGGCGCACGCGCAGACCGAGCCUGCUGCUUCAUCUCCUUCGCCUACCCAUGGUCGUUGAUGAGAGGAACUUCGUGGGGAAGGCAAGAGAAGUGGAUCUGAGAAGAUUGUGGAAUAUUAUGCUUGGAAGAUGCGGGAUUCUUUUUACUGAUGGAAUCAUUCACCUACUUACGUUUCUAGCUCAGUCUUACGAUGUAGCUGCUGUUUUUUCUCUCUUCAAUUCACCCAAUUACGUUUCUAGCUUAUGUGUCGUCGGGUGAAAUGAUGUUGGGUGGUUGUAUGAGGUGUUAGCUGCAUGGUCAAUUCAUGGAUUCGGCCACACCUUUUUAGUUUGCCAUCUUGCUUCUCGUUUUCUUAUGUGCUUCAAUGAGAUAACCGGAUGUUCGACAAGUUUGAUUAGUAAUAGUUCUAAUAGCAGACUGAAACAUUAAUAAAGCCAAAAUCUGCCUAUCAUGGUGGAGAAUGCAGACGGGCAGCAGGUUCACUGGAAUGCUUUAUGACUUCGAGUCACUCAUCAUGUCAUUAUUUGAUAUCAUUCAACACGUACAUUUGUUCUUAAUUUGGUGCCUUUUUGAAAAAUAUAACACACAUGUUGCUCUAGCAAUCGACCUCCCUGGUGGAUGGCUAAAAGAAAACGAUUUUGCUACUGCAUCUGUUCUUCAGAUUCAUAAUAAAUUAAAUACUUCUACUGAUGUCGCUACAACAUUCUGGUUUAAUUCAACAUGAGCUAUUUUACCUUUUACAGGCCCUUCUGGGUGGUGGCGGCGGCGGCGUGUUUUCCAGGGAAAGGCUUGCAUUCACGCCUAAAUCCCCUUGUAAAUGAAUUUGACCAAAUCAUAUCGAUCUCUGCUUUCAAGGAUGUUCACGAUAACACUGUCAUUUUUGGAAUUCAUACAUCAACUUUGACCAAACCCAACUAGACUGUGCUAAAUCAUCCGUGAAAUCAGCAAUCUCGGCGAACCUAGAAUCAAAGGCAUGAGCAACUGAAGACAAUGGGCGCCAAGUAUUAGCAUUUGUUGAAAGGAACCAACCACGGAGUGUGCAGUCUUGGCAGCAUGAGGAAGCAGGGAUGGUGACCUGACAAGGAGAGGAGGAGGUUAAUGGGAAGCAGGUAAGCAUCAUGGGCAGUGGGUAUAAGGAGGACGUUGGAAAAAUUAUUUUUUGGGUGGUGAUUUCCCCAAUGUUGGUUGGUUAGAUGAUAUAUCUCUUGAUAAUGCAGUGUGCUUUCAAUUUCGUGAGUUUGACCUCUUUCAGAAAGCUUUUCAAUUGCAGGUCUCUCUCUCAUGGAUGGAUGGUCACAUGGAAGUAAUCAAUUGACUAGCUAUGAAGAUUGCUGGGAUUGACAAAAACGCAAAAGUGAUCCAGUUGGUGGAACUAUUGUAGAACUCCUCGAGGAGGUAACCCUUUACGAGAGGGUGCAAGUGUUACUGUCUGCUACUAUAUUUGACAGUAAAUAAAAAACAAUCUACAAGUAGUCAAAUAUUCUUGAUUGAAAGUCUGCAAGUAGUCAGGUAGUCUUACAAAAGUCCAUUCUAGAAGAUCUUUGCUUGUUGUAGCUAUACAGUUUACCUCUAUUUUUUGUCAGUUAGCACUGUAUGUUAAUUCUCUUUGUGGCCUUGGCGAGGAUUUUUCUGCCCGCUCUUUUUCUUGCACCAA